AAUAUUGGCUUCCUUUUGCUGGGCAUAAAUAUGCUACAAGGUCUACUGCUGAUUUGUUGCCAAUACUACCUACACUGUCACCAGCUUUACUCUUAAAUAGUAUCUUCAAAAGAUGAAUGCAGAUUCUGGUUCAUUGUCAUCCAAAGACAAGUAUAAGAAUAAGCACAAGUCAUGGAUCAAUAAAUGAAGAAGAAGCUGAUAGGAUUGUAUAACUUCCUGGGCAACCGAAGGUCUCCUUCCAAUAGUAUUCGGGUUUCGGGUGAAGAAUGUUACAAGCAAGGAGGAUGUUAGUCAUAAAUAUGGUUAAGAAGUUUUGGUCACUAGCUUCGUGUGUAACUCUUAAUUUCAACAAGAAGCUAGUAGUUUUAGGUAUUUUGAUGCUUGUAAUUUUGCAAAACCUUUGGUUGGUCUUACAAUUGUAAUUGUUGAUUUGUAA